rnacentral:lncRNA from 1 species
ACACUAGAACCUAGGACUCACAAGAAGAAAGAUUUGAAAGCACUUCAGAAGAGUGGAAUGUAAAUGUAGACUUGAGGGGCUAGAUCUCCAGACUUAACUUCCAAGAGAAGAGAAAUUACCUGGACAGAGGAGCAAGAUAGUGGAACCAUGAGAGAACAAUCAGGUGAGUCACAGCUGGCAUGGUCUCUUCAAAGAGAUACUACUG